rnacentral:rRNA from 1 species
GUCAGUGACCGUAGUGCGUAGAAGCCUCCGGUACUCCUCCAAUCACCGAAGCUAAACUAUGUUGGGCUUGGUUAGUACUUUUUUUGGAUAAUCGGCUGGGCAUGUCAAGUUCUGCUGACC